AACUACCUCUGGGAAAAUGAAAGCCCUGAUGUGUAGUGCUUGUCUAUUCCUAUGAUGUAAAUACUUUCAUGGUGGUGAUUUCACACCAAUGUGAUGCCACUGAAUAUGGAGUUUGGAAGGGAUGUACAGUUGUCUCUCAUAAGCCUAGUUCUGUAGUUCCAGUGUACCAUUGUUAAGGGGAAUGAAAUUGCUUAGGGAAAUUUGUGGUUUGCCUGUCCAGCAUCUGUUUCCCCUUCUAGUAAGAGUGCCCUAAUUUUUCCUGAGGGCAUCCACCCCUACCAUGUUUUUGACCUACAUAAUUUGGGUAGGGUGAUCCCAUCCAGGUCCAGGAGUGGCACAUGACCCAGGCCUGGGCCAAUAAAUGUAUUUUAAUCUCCCUGGACAUUGAUUGGUUCAGGGAUGGGCUUGUGGCCCAGUUUGGCUCUGGGAGUCAGGCCCAGGACCUUUGUUUGAAUUGGUGGUCUUAGAGCUAUGAAGGAGUGCCCUGGAUCUAGUGGUGGCCAGCUUGCCACCAUGAGAGAAGAGGCUGUCUGAGAAUGAAGACAAACACAGAGGAAAACAGAGCUGAGAGACAGAGAGAAUAGAAAGAAUGGGCCCUGAGUAAAUUAUUUGCUUCUGGAUCUGUCCUGUCCCAGCUUCCAGUGUAAUUUCUGGACUUUCUGAGAAUCAGUGAACAUGUUUCUUUAUCAAGCAUGUUGCUUCUGGUGGAAAGAGGCCUAACUAAUGAGUUUGUCCCUGAGAGUUAUACUAGGAAAUCUCUAGAGCCUUUGGGACCAGAUGCUUGUUGGUAGAGGUUGAACUCCAUGAGGCCACGAAUGUUGUCUCUCUUGGGCAUCAUUGCUUUUACAGAACCCAGAACGUGCCUGACAUAUGGGAAAUGCUCAAUAAAUAUUAGUGGAACAUCUUGUAUCAGUCAGGUUUACUGUAUUAUGAUACAGUAACAGACAGCUUAUAACAACAAAGUUUUAUUUCUCAAAAUCUUUUGUCAUUUAUGUUGGUUGCAGCUCUGCUCCAUGUAUCUUCAUCUUAGGAUCCAGACUGAUGGAAGAGCUCCCAUCUGGGACAUGAGAAUCUCAUGGCAGAGGGAAAAAGAGCAAAGGCGGAACCUUGUGAUGGCUUUUAGAGUUCCUGCUUAGAUAAGGGGAAGAAGGUGGACUCCAUGGCUUAGCUGAAAGCCGGCUCGGUACUCCCCUCAAGCAGCCUGUGCAUCACAGAUUCCUGCCAGGCCCUCCGGAGCAUGUACCCCACGCCCUGGCCCAAGGUCUCUUCCCUCAGCACUUUCUCCGAAAAGGGCUGACAUUGGACUGCUGGGCCUCAGCAUGAUUGAAACCUGGCGAGAAGGGCCAGUUCAGGAAGGAAAGCAAGGUCCUGGGCCUCAUGCAAAGAAAAGUGUCCUGCAAGUGAAUGCAUAUAUUCCUGCUAUAUGGGCUCCACGUGGAAGAGCCAGGCUGGCGGACAUUGUCACCGACCACUUGAGGAAUAGAAGCAAAGACCUCGAAAUCUGCAAAACGCAGCGAAAUUGAUCUCGAAAAGAAUAUCCCGGUAUCUGGCUCUGUUCCUCCUGAUGUCGGCUCUCUACAGGACUGCUUGUGAUGUGGCUGCUUCCCCCAGAACAAGUGAUCCAAGACAGAGAGAGACGCCAAGUGUCUUUUAUAGCCUACUUUGGAAGUGACAUGCCUUCACUUCCAUUGCAUGCAACUGGUCACAUAGACCAACGCUGGUACAGUGUGGAGGGGACGACACACAGGUGUGAAUACAUGAAACGGGGAUCAGAGAGGCUAUCUCAGAGGCUGCCUACCCCGCAUGACCUCCUAAAUUAUUGGGAAUUUUUGUUCCAGCAAGAAAUGGGUAAGGGGGAUGGGAAUCUGAUGUGUACGUUCCUUUAGUGGGAACUUCAGGGCAGAAUUUAUUAUAAAUGCACGUAGAGAAGCCCAGUUUGACCCCCACUAAGAGGAUGAGCUAGUCAUCCCUUCCAAAAGGCACGCACUGCAGAAUGGCCCUUUCCUCUCUCCCAGUGCUCCCUGGCUCCGCACCCGUAUGUUGAAAGGUCUCUGCACACAGUAGGUACUCUCUGCCAUGCUGGUGGAGUUGCACUGGCUGCAGCUGCAGCUCUGGGGACCCUGAGCUGUGCCGUUGUGUUCAGAACUCCUUCGCCCCCAUGUGCCCACUUCCUCAGGCCGGCUCAUAUUCCAUCCCCUCUGAAAUCGUCACCCACACUUCCCAAUCGGACUUCUCGCAGACCUGCAGCAAUCCAGGCAGGCUCUGAAAGGCUUGGCUUCUCUUUCUGAGGAUCUUAUCAGCACACGAAAAUAAACAGAGCUCGAGGGGUCCUUGAUGUCUUAGGAUUGCAUUUUAAUGACUGCUUCUUUCCGAGAAAACGAGCUGGCCCCAUUUCCUGGUCAACAUCCACACUCAUAUGAGCAUAGCUGGACCUGGGGUCUUGGGACCCAGAGCAUUCCAAAGUGUGACUGACCAGUUUGCAAUUAGCACUUCAUUAGAGGGACACCCUUUGUCCACAGAACCAAGACUGGCUCCCAGGGACCAGCAUCUCCCAUCAACUCCCAGAGUGGUCUUUCUAGAACCUGCCUCUGAGCACACCACUCCUUGUUCAAAACUCUCCUUACACCUCCCUGCCUGGGGUAUCCAGCUCCUCAGCGUGGCUCACAAGGACCGUCACAGUCAGCCUCUGCCUGCUCCCCUGCCUCCGCUACCCGCCGCCCCUCCCGUCUCCUCCAGCCCUGCUCCCUUCAAUUUCUACCGCAGUCAGAUCCAACUGUUUGCCGUCGGGUGAAUGAUCGAUGCCGUCUUUCACUUCAUCUCUGCCUUGAAUGCCCUUCCCGUCCUGAAUAACAUCCAUGCCCGCUUCAGAAUUAAUCUUCACCCUCCCAUCAUCUGGGAAGCCUUCCAUUAACCACCCCCAAGUUGAAUUACAUUCUCCUUUCUGUCCUCCCGUGGGAGCAAGGUGGUGGUGCUGUGUCUUGACUCUCGGCGGCUUCCUGGAUAUUCUAGGCAGUGUCCCCACCUUUGAUGAGACCCUCUCACCCCCUCAGCCAUUCAGGAGAGCUGGCUUGUGAAACAAGUCAUGUGGAAUGUCACCAUGGGAGGGAGGAGAGGCCUGCCCAGCAUGGCCCUCAGCAGCUCAGGCAAGCGCAGUGUGCCCUCAUGUCCUGCAUCCCUGUGGUCCCUAGGGCUCUGGGAGCACAUGGCGAUAGCUUCCGAAAUCCUUGCUAAAAAGCAGAGGUGGUCCAGCCAGCAUAGCCAUGGUGCCUUGAUAUCUGAGAAGACCCUGCCCUUGUGUCAGGGCAGGACUCCUGGGUUUAGCUGACACUUGGCUUCAUUCGUUAAGGCUCUUUGCUGCCCACACUUCACAGCCUACGUUCGUGCCUCUGGACAGCUUGAUGAGAGAGUGCAAGGAACAGCAAGGACUUUGAGUAGAUGUGGCAUCAAAUCCCAACAUUACAACAAGCCCUGUGGUCUUCAGCCAGUGACAUAAACUCACAGGGCAUCAGUGUCCUAACUGGCCAAGCAGAGGCAACAUUCCCCAUGGGCUGGCAUGAUAACAUAAAUGAGAGACUUAAUGCAGCCUUAAUUCUGCCCCGCCUCCCUUUCUUCCUCGAUUCAAAAUGUACCAAAUGCCAACUGUAUGCUGGGCUCCAUGAGGGAGAAAACAGGAAGAAAACAGAGCCUGCUCUCGAAAGCUCCCAGUCUAGUAUAAGAAGUGACACUUGGACAUGCAAACUUACGAUACAAAGUGGUAAAUGACCAGUCCUGCAGAGGGGCGCCACUGGGACUUUGGGAGAGUUUUCUGAGGGCGAGCUCCUGGAAAGCUUCUAGUCUGGGGGAUUUGAAGCUGGAAGGCAUGGUGUGGACUUGGAGUAGCAUGAAUCCUGCAGAGUGCCAGGGUCCCACCCCCUCUCUGUGGACCAGAACCCUGCUCGCGGGAGAUAAACAUACAGCUGCUAGGGCUGCAAGGCGGGGCUGGGGUUGCAGGAACAGCCAGCCGCUCCUGGGCACCACCGCGUUCUCCAGGCCCUUUCUGCCAGGAUCUGAGGAGGCCUGUUUACAUGGGUCCCCCCUGCGGUCUGUGCUGCUUAAUAUGCCUUUUGAAAAUGAUGCUCAGUGGGACAUGUGCACAUUUGUAAUUACAAAGUCAGGGCUGGUUUUUCACAAUCUGCCUGCUAAUUUCUCAAGCGCAGGAAGGGAAAUAGCAGAAAGUCCAAAAUAGUCGAGUGGGUUCCCUGAUAGCACUCUGUAGUGCUUCCUGUUUACAAAGCACUUUUAUUCCUCCCUAUGAGGAAGGCAGACCAGAUACUCUUAGGCCAGAGGGGAAACCGAGACCCACAGAGGAGAAAUGACUUGUCCAAGGUUGCAUGGCAGGUAGGAAGGGUAGGCAGGGCUGCACCCCAGUUCCUCUGAUGGCACAUCUGGUGCCCUUUCCUAUCAACCUGGGGCACAGAAAGAAGGAGGGAUGAGGCAAGAAAUUCCCAGAACCAAGGCUGCUUCCCCUACGAGGUGGGCAUCCUGCCACGAGAAAUGGCUCAUCAGGAGCCACUGGGUGAAAACCCACAUUCAGGGAAAGCCUUCCCAGUAACUGAGAUCCAGCCUGAGGCUUCCAGGAGCAAGCCUCACACGGAAUGAGGGCGGGCUAAGAUUUCAGCCAACGCUUUGAAACCGAGCCUGCGGUUGAAGUCAGGUCAACACAUUCACAGGCGUUUUGGGCCCUAUCGACGUCUGGGGUGGGAAACCCACCCGAAAGCUGUUGAAAUGCAGGGGCCAGCACUGGUUUUGCAGAACAGUGGCUCUUUGAGUGGAAGGUGUUCGAGAAUUAAGUUUCCCCAGUGUUCCCAGGGCUCAGACUUAAAGCCAAGGGGGGUUGGGGCCUCCAGCGCCUGAUGGAGCCACUGAUAGGUCCCUGCUGGCUAAAAGUGAUGACAUUGGCAAGAAACUGAUCUUUCUGGGGAGCAGAAACUCAAGAGCACUCAAGUGCAGAACACAAGGCAAGUUGUGUUACCUGCCACAAAGCUUCAACUUUCAUGCCUAGGGGAGGGGGUGAGAGGGACCAUUGGUAUUGGGUAUCAGGGGUCCCAGACCAGACUCCGGAGGAGGAAACUGCUGGAGUGGGACCUCUUAUCUUGUCUCGUACUGUCCUUCUCCACAUAGAAUUAGGACAUGCUCAGGCUAGGGGUGGAGACUGGGUAACCCAGUUGCUCCCUGUUUCAUGGACAGGAAAAUCGAGACGCUGCAGCAUCAGGAGACUUACCUCUGGGCAUCAGAGAGUGUCACACAUGAGGCUUGCAACCAGUCUCCAGAUUCUCAGCCCACUCCUCAUGCGGACUGAGAAAAGAGACACAAAUCAAAGGUCCAGGCUCUUUGUCACCAUGUCGCAGGCCAAGCCACAGCCCACCUACCUCUGGCCUCCUUCACACUCCUCGUGAUCCUGCUGAGUGCCGUUCCUUCCUGUAAGCUGAUGCUCACACACACGUCUGGCCGAAGCAGGUUUCAGCCACUGGGCGAUAUUUGUUGAAAAGCGAAGUCAGUUUGUGUGAAGCAGCCCCUGCUUGGCCUGGCUCUCUUAACACCAGUCAGUCAUACAUUCUCCUGUUAGUCAAUGCUUGGUUGAAUGGUGAAGACCAAGGAUAUCCAAAUGGAGUGUCACAUGUGCUCAGCCCGAGAUAACCCUGGGGGACAGCUGCUGACUGGGCUCUAGCAUCUGCAUCUAAAAGUCAAGUCCAACAAGGCUGGCUAUAGAUUAAAAAAGUGGCCAUCCUGAAGUAUGGUGGUCCAUGGGUAGAUUCUCGAGUUGGCUUAGGGUGGGUAUAAAGCUUCUGAAAUUGCAGGGAACACCUUACCCAUGUUUAUGCAUGGGCUUUUAUCUAGGAACAAGUCCCUAUCUUUCAUCAAAUUUUCAACUCUGAAUAAUUGGAAGUUUAAGAAGCCAUAAUGUAGCUAUCUAAAGGCAUCAUCCUAGCUCUGUCUUUAUCCUCCUCAGGUGUCUCACAGUGUCCUGGUUCCGUAUAACACAGUCUGAGCUGGAGUGUCUCUCCUGACUUCAAAAACUGAAGUGUUGAAAGCCUUGGUCAUGGCUGGGUGACCUUGGCUGCUGAAAGUUCUUUGUCAUUUUUUUCUAGUAACUGUGUUCUUUCUGUAGGACAGUCACUCUCCUUUGUGCUGGGGAUGAGGGGCUGCAGUGGAAAUAUGAAGGCAGAGGGCUGAAGAAAGGAGGUUUAAACCGUCUGUGGUAUUGACACAAAGAAGCCUUUCUUCUUAAGUGCAACCUGAAAAAUAAUCCCCCAUUGGGGAGUGCCAUGACACUUCCUGUGUAACAUAUUCAAACAUCCCCCGGCAACUGUGGCCUGUGGGAACCCAAUAGGGCCUGAGCCAAAGAUGGGCAUAGAGGUGGUGAGAGUAGCAAUAUCUGCCUUCUCUUCAAACUUCUUUCAAUUAAGAAAGGACUUAGAAUUUAAAAGUAAAAUAAGAAUUAUGAUGGAGCCAUUGAAGACCAGCUCUAAGAAGAACUUUAGUCUUCUCAGCUGUGAAAAUGCAACUUGGAUGAGAAUGGUCUCAGUGGCCUAGAAAGGACAGGACUUACCCACAGAGGUAGUGCCCAAGCCCUUUGACCCCCUGUCUGAGAAUUGAGCCUUGAGAAUUGUAUCUCCUCAUAUUCUUGCUGGGAUGGUCAGCACUUGGGAAUGGUAUCCUGGCAUCAGUCAUGUAAAUGAAAUAGGAAAACUUCCCAUUUUCUUGGGUACCUGUUGUCAUUACUUCACCAGUUGGAGAGAACAGUACCCAAUGCAGUUCCUUUGAGUGAAUGUCCUCCCCAGCGAGCAGGAUAAAGGUGUUUUCCUAAAGUACCUGGUUGCAAAAAACCUUAGAGUCACAGAGAAUCAACACCUGGGAGUACCUGGAAGACCACCUAGUCAAGUCCUGUCACUUUGUUGCAGGUGUUUCUGAGGCCCAGAGAAGAAAAGAGACUCAAACAGAUGAGCUGUGCCCAUCAGAUUCUCUCGUUCAGAAAGGAAACAAGGAGUAGAGAGGAAAGUUUCCAGCUAUGACGGGCACUGGGUUUUGAAGGUCACACAGCCUUGAGAACUUGGGUGGCAGAUUUUGUUUGUUUGUUUGCUUUUGUUGGGAUGAAUAAACUGAUGAGUACGUAAGUCUUUAGAGAGCUGGGAGUAGGACAGGUGAGCAGAGAUGCCUUUCGUGCCCUGGCUUCCCUGCAGUCCCUUAAACCCUGCUUUAGUGGAAUGAACUGAGUUGAUUUGUUGAAACAUGGAAAAGCCCUGACCAGAACAAGGGGACUCAGGUGUGCACAGGAGCUGGACUGUAGGACCUAUGAGAACCCUUUAACCAGAGGUAGUCUGAUUUCAGGGGUCUUGGGGUUCAGGGCCUAUUGGAGCUAGUGAGCCAUGAGCACAGGUAACUCACGCCAGUUUCACUGAAAAUGCAGGUGGUCUCUGGGAAAGGGUCUCUGGGCAGCUUGAUGCUCAUAAUAUGGUCCUGGGACCAGCAGCAUCAGUAUCUGGGGGUCGUUGGAGGUGUAGAGCGUCAGCCACAACCAGACCUCCUGAAUCAGAAUUUGCAUUUUCACAAGUUCCCCAGCAAUUCCUAUGUACAUUAGGUUUGAGAAGCAGUGAUUUAAGAAAUAGCCUUUAAAAAAAAAAAAAUAAAGCAAGAACACGACGGAGAAAAGGCUGUGAGCAGAAACAUGAGGAUCUGGUGGUAAUCUCAUCUCCAGGACAAACUCGCCGUGCAGCCUUGAGAAAACCACAGCCAUGCUCAGAAUGGCUGUUCUCUCAUCUGAAAAUGAGAGGGUUGGACUGGAUGAUCUUUAUGCUCUAGCCUCGCAGGCAUCUCUGAUAUGAGGUAGGAGGGGGGAGCCCCACUCAGCUGAAGAUCAGAGAGCUUCUUGCUGUGUAAAACACUCCCUAAUCAGCCUAUGUCAAGUCCCCCGCCCCCCGACUAACCACAGUGACAAGUCCCAGGAGUGUACCUUGUCAGGCUGUGAAUAAAGUUCAGGCAGCUUGGUUAAUUACCCUGACAUCAACUAGAGUUAGCUACCCAGCAGCUCGGAAACUCAUCUUAAUGAUUAGAGGAAUGCACACGCCACAGCUUCAGUCACAGCCACCACCUUUGCAGGCUACAGCUUUGUUUCAGGGUCUCAGAUUCAGGCAGAGGAUCCCCAAGGGCAUCAGGGGUCCAGGUGGGUGUCAGGAGGUUCCCCCUUGCCCAUUCCACAUGAGGGUAAGGUCAUUCUUCAAAUGUGUCAUUAGUGAAGCUUUGUAACAAUCAUAACAAAGAACCCGUUUCUUUCUCUCCUACCUCUACACGUAACCUGCUCCAAGUUCUCCACUGCUGUCAGAAAAGGCCAUGCGGGAUGUACUCCUCCUUAUUCUCUAGCCACAAGUCCAUUAAUUUCUACCUCAAACCCUCUGCCCUGACCUCAGAGGGCUACACUCUGUUCCCUGUGUGAGCCAUGAUAUUUCUUCUAUUUGCACACAUUGCUUCUGCCCAGAACACUCUUCUCUGCUCUUGACCAUAGUCCUUAUUCAGUCUUCAAAUUUAGUGUCUCUGUCAUUUCCCCCAGAAAGAUAUUGUGUCUAUAUCAUGUCCCCCAUGUCCAGGCUGGAUGUCUACAUUUCUAUAGAGUCCUGUGCUACAUCAAUUGUACUAGACAUCACACUGUAUUUUGAGAGUUUCUCUACAAAACAGUGAGCUCUGGGUUGUCAGAGACCAUGCCUGACUUACUUAAGAUCUAAGCUCCGUGAGGACAGGGAUUGUUUUCUCUGUCAUUGACAGCUGUAUUCAGAGUGCCAUGUACAUUGCCUGGCACAUAGAAGAUGCUCAAUAAGUGUCCUUUAAAUGAAUGAAUGAAUGAAGAAAUGAAUUCCCCAUGCUUAACACAGUGUCUGGUGCAUGAUGAACAGUCAAUUUUGUUUCAAGUGAAUGAAAGGACAAAGGGAGAUUUUUCUGUUUUGGCAUAAAGUCUGGACAGUGAAAACUCAUUAGGAUGGAUUGCUUGACAGGCUGAAGCACAAAGGUGUCCACAGCUCAGUUGCCUCUAAAGAGGUCUGUGCUGACACUGGACAGGGAGGUAAGACUUGUUUUGUGACUGUGGGACUGAGGGUGAGAGGUCCAGAGAGGGUACUUCCGUAAGAGGUUUACUUUGAAUGAAUGACCUUGGGGAAGUGUGAGGCUCUGCUCCCUCAGCCCAGAGCACACACAUCCCCUCUCUCCUGCAGGCUGUCUGAAGGCCUAGAGGGCCUGUCCCAGGCCCAACCUUUCAUGUGGACCGAGAGGUAGAGGCAAAGAAGGGAUUUCUCUAGGCAGGCCCUUUAGAUAGGAGAAAACAUUCUCAAAUCUUAGAGCCAGUGAAUGACAUUACUGAUGUUGGAAGCCACAUCUUUACGGGCCUUAAGUGCACGGCUCUUUUUUUUUUAAAUGUAUUUUUAAAAAUUUUUAUUUCAUUUUUGGCUGCGUUGGGUGU